UNCAGCAGCGGACGCGNAGCUGACCUGAAUUGACCGUUGAGAUCNAGACAGACAACUCNGAAGAGGAGACGGGCAAANACACACCAUGAAACAACUAUNANGACAACUAACAUGACGUGUUAACGGGACGUGGGGAAACUAACACAGUGGGUGAUGCUGAAUGACACUGGUGUUNGAUGACACCAAACGACUCUUACGACAACAUGCCAAGACGUGUCAGUUUUAAANGAAACAAGAAAAAGUUUCGACACUUUACGACACAACUGGGUUGUGUAACUACAAAUAAGACUACUGGCGAAUUUUCACAGGCUACACAGGGAAUUCCACUUUCCUCUUCUGCACUCAAGUUUUCCAGUAUAAAUGAAACAUAAACGGAUUGAGACAGUGGGGACUUUNACAGUCAAGAACUUAAAAAAAAAACAGACCCUAACGNCGACGCCUUUUUACGCCNCAAAAUAAUUUUCCGGGAUUAACCGCCUUGCCCACCCUACGUAGUUACCGCGGCUGCUGGCACGUAGUUAGCCGUGGCUUUCUGAUUAGGUACCGUCAAGACGUGCAUAGUUACUUACACAUUUGUUCUUCCCUAAUAACAGAGUUUUACGAUCCGAAGACCUUCAUCACUCACGCGGCGUUGCUCCGUCAGGCUUUCGCCCAUUGCGGAAGAUUCCCUACUGCUGCCUCCCGUAGGAGUCUGGACCGUGUCUCAGUUCCAGUGUGGAUCGAUCACCGUCUCAGGNUCAGGCUACGCAUUCGUAAGCAAUGGGGUAAAGCCCCGUUUAAUCUUUUAAUCCAAAA
rnacentral:rRNA from 1 species